rnacentral:miRNA from 1 species
UAGGGACUAAAUUGAUAAUUU